AUACUUUUCUCGGCCUUUUAGCUAAGAUCAAGUGUAGUAUCUGUUCUUAUCAGUUUAAUUAAUAUCUGAUAUGUGAGGUCUUGUCCUCACAGUGAUAUUAAAUUUAUUUUUUUAUGGGGGAGAGCCACUGUUGUAGCUUCCUACUCGGCUCUCGAGCGUCGCCCUGGUGUUGCACUGUUGCUUGGGUUAGGCGCACCUCCA